AAAAUCUUUUUUUAAAAUCACUUAACAAACUUGUGGCAACAUCCGUGAAUGUUUGCAUGCACUUCGCUGGAGAAGCAUAGACGACUUUCCUUGACUUUCAGCUUUUCAUUAAUUAGUAACUCAAAAUGGCUGGUGCUAGUGUAGAUGAAAGUCAAUUUAAAGGAUGGCAAAAGCAUUUCAAUACCUAUACAACUCGUGGAAGAGCUAAUAUUACUUUUGCAACAUAUGGUGCACUAGCUGUUAUUGGUGUUUACCAGUGGUUGAAACCAAAGAAGAAGCCUGCAGCAAAAGAUGGACAAUAAAACUUAUUUUAUAGGAUGUUAAAUAACAGUUGAAUUGAUUUAUGUAUUUUUUUUUCUAUUUGUUAGUGUUCAAAACCUGUCAAAUAAAUUGAUUUAAUUUA